ensembl:lncRNA
UGGAGAGAAUCGAGGUCAGUGAGAUGCAGAGAAGGAGAGAUGAGAGGAACUGGAGCCGCUCGCAGAGGUCUGGGUGAAGUUCAUGACUCUCAGUGAUAUACGUUCAUCAGGGGAGCGUCGUUCCCAUCAUCCUCGUCUCUGCGCUUCCUCUUUGUUCUGCAUCUGCUGAGCUGUGCGUGCCAGAUAUCUGACAUUUACACAAACGCUCUGAGGAUCGGCUGAGGUCACUGACUCAUGUUACAGUCAGCGCUGCAGUGAUGACAAACAAGCCUAAUCCGCCUGAUUGACAUCUCAGUCUAAAUUGACUUGGAAUAACGGAGGAAAAUUCCAGAACUCCCACAUACCUGGACUGAUUGAAGCACCGAUCAACGUCCAUCAGAAGAGAUGCUUUACAUUGGACCUCUGUAUCUUAUUCUGGGUACUCAGAAUAAAAAAUUGAGCUUAAUUUUUUUUUUUUUUUAAAUGUAUUAGUUUUAUAUGUAGGUGAUGAUAUUUGAUAAAGCUCAAUUUCAG